rnacentral:sRNA from 1 species
UAUAAAGUUACUAUUUAUGCAUAUGCAUGGAUAUUUCAAGGUCAUUAUUAAUGAUAUAUUGAUAAAGCUAUAUAGAGGUACUUAUAUGUAAUUAUGAGGCAUGUGUGCAAUUUCGCUGGAUUAUGUUAGGUUUAUAAUUGAUAUAUUACGGGAGGUAACUCCAUUUGCAACAUGUAUGAUAUCAUUUGGUUGUCUAGAGUUAUGCCUCUUUGUUUACAUUUUUCUGUCGCCAAACUUUGCUAGAGCAUUUCAGAUUUAUAUAUCUAGAUGCAUAUCUUAUUGUGACUAAUUGAAUUAGGUUAUACUGAUACAUCAGAUAGUCAUACGUUUCAUCAUUGUCAACCAUAUAUUUACUAGGAUGAAUUUGUAUGUGUGUGUUUUUUGAAUUAGUUUAUUUACAAUAUUUUUUCUCUAUUUUUUGUAGUAAAUCGUCAUUCGUCAUUCGUCAUUCGUCAUACAUCUUACAUGUUUUGUCACCCUCCAAAAUAAAAUAAAGACGCAUUUACAAAAG